rnacentral:rRNA from 1 species
GUCCACGCCGUAAACGAUGGGUGCUAGGUGUCGCGGGCUUUGACUCCUGCGGUGCCGUAGCUAACGCAUUAAGCACCCCGCCUGGGAAGUACGGCCGCAAGGCUAAAACUCAAAGGAAUUGACGGGGGCCCCGCACAAGCGGUGGAGCAUGUGGUUUAAUUCGACGCAACGCGAAUAACCUUACCUGGGCUAGAAAAUGCAAGAACCUGGGAGAAGUCUCGGGGUGCUCUUCGGAGAGCUUGUAGUUAGGUGCUGCAUGGCUGUCGU